UAUUUUUUUAGGGGGUGUUACGUGGUGUUUGCGUAGAAAAGAACCACUUGCUACGUGUUUUGAUUUUAAUAUCAUUGCGUAGAAAAGAGCCACCUACUCACCGCCUCUUUCUCUUCCCCACCGCCUCCGGUAUCUUUCACUAUCUUUGUCGGUCUCUUUUUUGCCUCCUCUCAAACGACGAACAGCUCCUUCCUUCUUCCUCCUUCCACACAGUACAUGACGAAGGAAGAUGAAGCUAAUAUACUAUUGUCUGUGGCUUUAAAUAUCUUGGGUGGUAUCGUCCUACUACCGGUUGUGCCAAGUAUAAUCCUCAAUUCAAUUUGAUAGAAAAGAUUUUGAAGAUUUGACUGACAGUCACAGCUACAUUCAAUUACCUUUGAAUUUCAACAUUCACUGUACAAAUCAGAUUCUCCAUGUGGCCUUGACUUCAAAGCUAGGAUUCACUUUUGUGCUUCUAAUAUGAUGUCAAAGGAACUUUCCAAGAGGUUAGCUUUAAGGCUGCAAUUCAUCAUUUUGGGAUCCAUUCUCAUGCUCCUCAUAUAAGGAAAUCAUACAAUUCUCUAAUAAAAGUACCACAAAGCCCUAAUUUUGUUACUGGGUACAGAAAUAAGUUUCUUCACAAGGCCAACUGUUAGGAUAUUGGGAAUAAAGGUGUUCAAUCUUCAAAACUUUAUAAUCUUUGAUGUUGGCAGGUGUUUAAUCUUUAAUUCCCUUCUUUUUGUCAUAUUUUGGUCCCGGCUGAUCUUUUCCUUUACAUCAUUCCUUACUUUUGGAUUGCAAGCAGUAAGAAAAAACAUAUGAACAAGUGGUUGUAACUUUGUUUUUUUGUACUUUACAUGUUUCUUACCUAAACCCAUAAAAUUAAACAAUGCUUUUGUCUCUAAACUACAGGAAGAUAGUCGCAAUCUCUUUUCUAAAGAAAAAACAGUUGGAAGGAAAAAUGGAAUUCUGAUGCUAUAAAAACAAAUUAAAGUUAAAAGUGGAGUCUAAGUAGUUUAUUUGACUCGACAAAAGCAGGGCUGCUUAUUGGUCCGUAGGACCGGCAGGGCAGUUUUUCUUAAGCAGGUUGAUUAUAGCAGCAACCAGGAGUAGUUUGCUUAUGGGAAAGCGAUGAUAACAUAGCCUUCAACAUUUGAUCACAUCAUGGCACCUUCUUUUGUCCAACCAACUUUGUCCAUGUUGUGUUUCUGAUGACUAUUUACCUUUAAAGUUCAGAUUAUAAAUUAUAAGUUUAUAUAUAUAAUAUAAUAUAGCUUUAAAUAUUCACUCUGUCAAUUGUCGUAUUCGUUUGUUGAAAUUUCCAAAAUACCCCCAAAGCUCUAUUUCGACACAUAAAUAUGAAUUACCGUUAAGCUUAUUGUUAUUGCCUUAGCUAUCUUUUAGCUAGAAUAGAACGCAUGAAACUGCAACUGGUCGAGCAACCCGUCCAAAAAACAAGUGCAUGGUGCCCACAGGUGUAAAGAUCAUAUCAUGCAAUCACCUUGGGACAAAUAACUGCCGCAAGAAGACCACUUGGUCUUAACAGGUUUGUGGUUAGCCCUCUACUUUCACUAUUUUUUCCUUUCUAAUAGAUUGUAUUUUAAAGCAACAUCUUAUAACAAAUAAUGUAACAAAAGUAAGUUACUAUUUCCUUGAUGACUUGGAUUACUUACUUUAUUGUUUAUGUACUGCAUUAUAUGAUAUUAUAGAUUUUUUUUCUUACAUUUGAACAUAAGUAAGUACCCAAUACCACAGGUAUGCGUAAAAAGAGUCGGAUUAAAAGUAAAUACCAUAUGUUUGUAUUUUAAUGUUUUAAAUUAUGUAAAUUUUUGUAACUAUGGAACUGGAAUGUAUCGUUAUACUUAAAAAAGAAGUUUUAGAAAUUUUAUCACAUCCAAAUUUUUUUUGGUUAAAAUCAAAUGCAAAGUUUUUUUUGUCCAUCUCCAAAUCGAUCUGUCACGACGGAGCCGCAGUCGGAAAUCGGAGGAAAAGAACCGAAGAAAAUGAGAGAUUCAAUUUAGGGCAUGAAAUCGGUGAAGGAAUGAAGAUAAUUGAAGUCGAUGCAAUUUAUUGAGACGUUAGUAUGUCUUUGAUGGAAAGCAAAGGGCUCGCCGAUGAAUCUAGAUCAACUGGUAUGUUUGUUAAACGGAUGAGACGGUGGGUGGUGACAUGAAUGUUUUUUUUUUAAAUAUAGCGUUGUACUUCUUUUGGUAGCAUGAUCUAUCAUUAUAUUUCCAUUUAUCCGAUUGAUGGAAAAUUAGACAGAAUAGCAACAUAUUUUAAUUUGGAUACCAAAUUAUGCAAUGCACUUCAUUAUUUGUCUCACAAAAUGAACACAUUCCGCCCCGCGCAACGCGCGGGUAUCCUCUCUAGUUUAAAAUAUAACUGACCAUUGUUAUGUUUUUAACUUUUUAUGUAAUGGAUCUUUUUUUUUUGUAUUA